rnacentral:tRNA from 1 species
GGGGCGGUGGUCAAGUGGGAUGACGCCCUGCCUUGUAGGCAGGGAGGUCGGUGGUUCGAACCCAUCCCGCUCCA